ensembl:lncRNA
AGGCUAUUGGAGCCCACAAGGAAGGUAAGCUCCCCUCCACGGAGGUGGUUUGGAAGGGAGAAGGGAAAUAUGGCCCUUGAGAAGGGGCUCCCAUGCGUUUCAGCUCUCUGCCAGUCAAGGACCAAGGCUGAUUGGAAUGAAGCCAUAGGAGAGAGGGAAGCUCUUGUGUUGCUGUGGGGAGUGAAGGCUCUUCUGCAUCUCUUGUAAAAUCGUUAAUAGGACAACCUAGAGGAGAACUGGAAGAAAACCCAACUACCAUCACCUCCCACCCCCAUCAAACCCUCAGAAAUGCUGUGGAAACAGGACCUGCAUGAAGACCUAUAGGGCAUAAGUACAUGAAGAAUUUGGGAGAGGUACCUGGAACAUGGGAAUCCAGAGAAAAGUACUUUGUUUACUGCACCAGAGUCUCCCAGAGCUGUGGAGAGUCCACAUGGCUGAAAGUUGGCAGCCAGGCUGCAGGUGUGGUGAAAGAGAGGUGUUUUCUAAACACACCAAAUACUUAUUGCUCCGGCCUUUUGUAGAUAAUGAUCAGCUCUGACUUUAAAAGAAAUUACAGCAGAAGUGCUUGUAUCUGGGAGGAUGAAUACCUGCUUCCAGGUUGGGCUCUGUAGAAUUGAACUUCAUAAACAAAUUACUUGAUGUGAUUAACCAAGUCAGAGGGUUGAAGGAAAUGUGCCUCUGACUCUGACAGUAUCGGGGUGGAAGCUGUAAUGUGCUGGCCAGACAAUUAUCGUGGGUAGGAACAAACAGACACAAGGUUCUUGGGUGUGAGGUUUCCCAUUAAAGCAAUAUAUUUUCUCCGAAAAGAACCCAUAGCAGAAAAAAAUAACCCUUCCUGAAAGCCUGAUUUUUUUUCUGAGAUUCAAAACACUGUCUUGACUCUGCAGAUGUUUGAUGUGCAAGGACAGAGAGCAAUUGUGAACCAAAAGAGCUAAGAAUUUGUAGGAAAACAUCUGGUAUCUAGAAUGACCAGAUAAAGAGUUUUCAGUAGCUCUGAAAACAUUUCUGCCCUAUGAUUGUGCUAAUUUCAGUAGGAGAAACAGUCCCUGCACUGACAUCAUUCAGUUUUACAAGUUUGAAGGUUGGAAUACACAUAUAUUGGCCUACUUGUCCCUAAGGUAAAGGUGACUUUAAAAAAACCCAACUAAACAAAUAAAAAGCAAGCAAAAAUUUAAAUGUUUUGAUGAUGACAUAGGCAAAAAAUAGUGCAAAAACAAAUAAAAAACAUUUAAAGCCUGAAAUGGGGUUGCAGGCAAGACAAGCUGACCUUCUCAGAGCUUCAAGAAACAAAAACACUUCCUCAUGCCAAGGAUGCUCUGCAUGAGCUGAGCUUGCUUGGUCUCAAGCUGAUGACAGUAGCUUUUCCUGCUUUUGACAAAACAAAUAAUGCAAUGGGGGAAGAUGGUUCUCUGUUAGGACAAUUUUUAAAAAUUUCUUCCAACAGGGAUAUCAGCUACCUGCCUGGUACCUGAGCCCAUUCACAAACUGGCCGAGGCUGGACAAGCCAUUUCCCCCAGGAUGAAAAUCCUACCACAGCUGGGAUGUGCAAGGGUUGGACAAAACACUGCUUUUGUGCUGUUUGGAAAUUAUUCACUUGGGAUAAAAAUAUAUGUUUAAGAGGAGAUUUCCACCCUUUCUCAGGUGGGAUUAGCUAUGCUUUGGUGUUUACAGGAGGUGACAAUGGGAGAACAGGAUGUGUUGUGCUGUUGUCUAAGAGCAGAAGGGUAGGUGGGAACCUUCAGGCAGGUUUCUGCCUGCAGUGCUUCUGGUUUGGUACACCUGGCCUGUGGCAGCCAAACCUGGAUUGCCCUGUGUGUCCUCAUGAAGCUGGGCAGCACAGGGCUGAGGUCCCAGCAGCCACCAGUGUCACCGUGUGUCCCCCGUGAGCUGGCAGCGUGGGCAGAGGCAGUGCUGUGUGCAGAAAUGAGAGGGAGGGUGGGCAGAGGUGCUGGGACACGUGGGCUGUGCAGAGAGUGCAGUGUGUGAGUGGGACCAGGAGUGCAGUGACAUCCCUCCCUCCCUCCCUGCCAUGAGCACUGUCCAUCCCAUCCUGUCCAGCCUCCGCCCCCAGGCUCUGGCCAAAGUUCCCACCCCAUCCAAUUGCUCCAAUUAGUGCUGUGGGGUUUUUUUUCUUUAUUAAGAAGGUGGCUGGAGACCUGCCUGUGUUUGAGUCCAGCUCCUUUUAAUCUGUCCCAACCAUGAUUGAGGUUAACAGAGUUUCCUGCCCAGCAGCCUCUUUGGCAAAUUAGAGAGAACUAGUGAGACACUGCCAAUAAACUUCCCACUUUAUAGAUUUUGUCCAGCAGAGCCUGAAUGAAUUGGGUCAUGCUGCCAUAUGUAAUCCUUGCACUUGAGGUUUGACCUAGCUCCUGUGCAAAGCAGUGGGCAGGGAUGUGUCUGGGAGCUGGCCUGCAGCUCUGGCUGAGACAGCUGAAUUUUGAAAGAGCUGGGGUGGGGCCGCGCCGUUCAUUUCUGUGGACCAGUUUCAUUUGUAUGGGAAGAUGAUUGAUGUCUUCCCGCGGGAUCUUUUGUCUGUGCUGGAGUGUGUCUGGAACAACAUUGCCAAGAUACCUUGGGGCUGGGUUAGGUAAUUAUUUUGUGAUUAGAUACUGAAAUCAAAUAAAUAAGUUAAUCAUUUUA